AUUGAACGCUGGCGGCAGGCCUAACACAUGCAAGUCGAACGGUAACAGAAAGCAGCUUGCUGCUUUGCUGACGAGUGGCGGACGGGUGAGUAAUGUCUGGGAAACUGCCUGAUGGAGGGGGAUAACUACUGGAAACGGUAGCUAAUACCGCAUAACGUCGCAAGACCAAAGAGGGGGACCUUCGGGCCUCUUGCCAUCGGAUGUGCCCAGAUGGGAUUAGCUAGUAGGUGGGGUAACGGCUCACCUAGGCGACGAUCCCUAGCUGGUCUGAGAGGAUGACCAGCCACACUGGAACUGAGACACGGUCCACACUCCUACGGGAGGCAGCAGUGGGGAAUAUUGCACAAUGGGCGCAAGCCUGAUGCAGCCAUGCCGCGUGUAUGAAGAAGGCCUUCGGGUUGUAAAGUACUUUCAGCGGGGAGGAAGGGAGUAAAGUUAAUACCUUUGCUCAUUGACGUUACCCGCAGAAGAAGCACCGGCUAACUCCGUGCCAGCAGCCGCGGUAAUACGGAGGGUGCAAGCGUUAAUCGGAAUUACUGGGCGUAAAGCGCACGCAGGCGGUUUGUUAAGUCAGAUGUGAAAUCCCCGGGCUCAACCUGGGAACUGCAUCUGAUACUGGCAAGCUUGAGUCUCGUAGAGGGGGGUGGAAUUCCAGGUGUAGCGGUGAAAUGCGUAGAGAUCUGGAGGAAUACCGGUGGCGAAGGCGGCCCCCUGGACGAAGACUGACGCUCAGGUGCGAAAGCGUGGGGAGCAAACAAGAUUAGAUACCCUGGUAGUCCACGCCGUAAACGAGUUCGACUGGGAGGUUGUGCCCUUGAGGCGUGGCUUCCGGAGCUAACGCGUUAAGUCGACCGCCUGGGGAGUACGGCCGCAAGGUUAAAACUCAAAUGAAUUGACGGGGGCCCGCACAAGCGGUGGAGCAUGUGGUUUAAUUCGAUGCAACGCGAAGAACCUUACCUGGUCUUGACAUCCACAGAACUUUCCAGAGAUGGAUUGGUGCCUUCGGGAACUGUGAGACAGGUGCUGCAUGGCUGUCGUCAGCUCGUGUUGUGAAAUGUUGGGUUAAGUCCCGCAACGAGCGCAACCCUUAUCCUUUGUUGCCAGCGGUCCGGCCGGGAACUCAAAGGAGACUGCCAGUGAUAAACUGGAGGAAGGUGGGGAUGACGUCAAGUCAUCAUGGCCCUUACGACCAGGGCUACACACGUGCUACAAUGGCGCAUACAAAGAGAAGCGACCUCGCGAGAGCAAGCGGACCUCAUAAAGUGCGUCGUAGUCCGGAUUGGAGUCUGCAACUCGACUCCAUGAAGUCGGAAUCGCUAGUAAUCGUGGAUCAGAAUGCCACGGUGAAUACGUUCCCGGGCCUUGCACA
rnacentral:rRNA from 1 species